CCUCUAUAUAUAUUUGUACAACAACCAUUCCUCUUACACCUAUCUCCACAAUUUCUUGACCAAAAACAAUGGCCACUUUCUCUCUGGUUUCAUUCUUUUUUCUCCCCAAAUGAUACACAUUUUGAUUUUAUUUAAGCCAGGACCAACGUAUACGCUCACCACCAUUCAUAUAAAAAGGUUUUGUUUGUAUACAUAUAUUCCAUAUAUAUAAGGAUUUAUAUAUAGUCGUGCCUGGCUCCCUGUAUGCCACAAGAAAACAUCGAUUUAGUUACAAAAUCGAUCACUAGUGGCGUACAGAGUAGUCAAGCAUGACCAAAACUUUUCUUGAUAUAUAAGUACUGUGUCUCGAUAAAACAGCUACGUACUAUGCAUGGAUGGUGGAUACAAAUACAUCGUUCAGGACCUGCCAGCUCAUCAGUCAUCAAGAGGUUCUAAGCCUGCUCAAAGUUUUAGAGUGAUGCUUUUUUUCCUCCGAGCGGGUUUUAGAAGACAUUGCAUGCGAUGUGUUGUAUUGUCUCACUUGUGUGACAGAAGAAACAGAGAACACAACACAUCUGCCUCGCCUUUUCAUACAUUUGUGUCCUUCCCAAAUUUUUACUCUUUUUUGUUUUUUUAAUGUUUCUUUCCUCAAAAUCAUCGACACUGAUUAGAGACGAUAUAUACUUCUAGAGGUUUGUAUGUAAUUAAGAAAAUUAAUCAAUAUUUACAAAUUGUAUUAUUAUAAUA